UACGGAGGGUGCGAGCGUUGUCCGGAAUCACUGGGCGUAAAGGGCGCGUAGGCGGCGCGGGGAGUCAACGGUGAAAGCUCGGCGCUCAACGCCGAGUCGGCCGUCGAUACUCCCCGUGCUCGAGCACUGUAGAGGCAGGUGGAAUUCCGGGUGUAGCGGUGGAAUGCGUAGAGAUCCGGAAGAACACCGGUGGCGAAGGCGGCCUGCUGGGCCAGUAG
rnacentral:rRNA from 1 species